UCCAAAUCCCACAAAAUUCAAGACAAAUCCUCAAAAUCCCACAAAAAUCCCACCAAAUUCCAGAACCAUCUCACAAAAUCUCAACAAAUUUCCACUAAAUUCAAGAAAACUCUCACAAAGUUCUUGAAAGCCCCUCAAAAUUCCAGAAAAAUGCCACAAAAUUCCCUACAUCUUCACAAAACAUUACAAAAUUCUACAGACAUCUCACAAAAUCUCCACACAUUUCCACAAAAUCUAAGAAAAUUCCCGCAAAAUUCUUCAAGUCUGCUCCAAAUCCCACAAAAUUCAAGAGAAAUCCUCAAAAUUCCACAAAAAUCCAACAAAAUUCCCUACAUCUUCUCAAAAUCCAAACAAAUUCCUGAAACAUCUCACAAAAUCUCCACCAAUUUCCACAACAUUUAGGAAAAAUCCCUCCAACUUCUUCAAGUCUCCUCCAAAUCCCACAAAAUUCAAGAGAAUUCCUCAAAAUUCCACAAAAAUCCCACCAAAUUCCUGCAACAUCUCACAAAAUCUUCGGAAAUUUCCACAAAAUUCAAGAAGACUCUCACAAAAUACUUGAAAGCUGCUGAAAAUUCCACGAAAAUCCCACAAAAAUCCCUAAAUCUUCUCAAAACCCAACCACAUUCCUGCAGCAUCUCACAAAAUCUCCACCAAUAUCCAAAAAAUUCAAGAAAAUUCCCUCCAAAUUCUUCAAGUCUCCUCCAAAUCCCACAAAAUUCAAGACAAAUCCUCAAAAUCCCACAAAAAUCCCACCAAAUUCCUUCCAUCUUCUCAGAACCCAAACAAACUCCUGCAACAUCUCACAAAAUCUCCACCAAUAUCCAAAAAAUUCAAGAAAAAUCUUACAAAAUUCUUCAAGUCUCGUACAAAUCCCAGAAAAAUCCCACAAAAUUCCAGAAACAUCCCACCAAAUCACCUCAAUAUCACCAAAAAUUCUGGAAAAGCCUCACAAAAUUGCAGAAAAAUGCCACAAAAUUCCCUAAACCUUCUCAAAACCCUACCCAAUUCCUGCAACAUCCCACAAAAUCUCCAACAAUUUCCACAAAAUUCAAGAAAAAUCCCUCAAAAUUCACUGAAUUUCCUCAAUAUCCCACCAAAUUCCAGAACCAUCUCACAAAAUCUCAACAAAUUUCCACAAAAUCUAAGAAAAUUCCGCAAAAUUCUUCAAGUCUCCUCCAAAUCCCACAAAAUUCAAGACAAAUCCUCAAAAUUCCACAAAAAUCCCACAAAAUUCCUUCCAUCUUCUCAGAACCCAAACAAACUCCUGCAACAUCUCACAAAAUCUCCACCAAUUUCCAAACAAUUCAAGAAAAAUCCCGCAAAAUUCUUCAAGUCUCCUCCAAAUACCACAAACAUCCCACAAACAUCCCACAAACAUCCCACAAACAUCCCAUAAAAUUCAAUAGAAAUCCCACAAAAUUCAAGAGAAAUCCCACCAAAUUCUGUACAAGCCCCACACAAUUCCCUAAAUCUUCUCAGAACCUAACCACAUUCCUGCAACAUCCCACAAAAUCUCCAACAAUUUCCACAAAAUUCAAGAAAAUUCCCUCCAAAUUCACUGAAUUUCCUCAAUAUCCCACCAAACUCCAGAACCAUCUCACAAAAUCUCAACAAAUUUCCACAAAAUCUAAGAAAAUUCCCUCCAAAUUCUUCAAGUCUCCUCCAAAUCCCACAAAAUUCAAGACAAAUCCUCAAAAUUCCACAAAAAUCCCACAAAAUUCCUUCCAUCUUCUCAGAACCCAAACAAACUCCUGCAACAUCUCACAAAAUCUCCACCAAUUUCCAAACAAUUCAAGAAAAAUCCCGCAGAAUUCUUCAAGUCUCCUCCAAAUACCACAAACAUCCCACAAACAACCCACAAGCAUCCCACAAAAUUCAAGAGAAAUCCCACAAAAUUCAAAAGAAAUCGCACAAAAUCCUGUACAAGCCCCACACAAUUCCCUAAAUCUUCUCAGAACCCAACAACAUUCCUGCAACAUCCCACAAAAUCUCUGGAAAUUUCCACAAAAUUCAAGAAGACUCACACAAAAAACUUGAAAGCUGCUGAAAAUUCCACGAAAAUCCCACAAAAAUCCCUAAAUCUUCUCAAAACCCAAACAAACUCCUGCAACAUCUCACAAAAUCUCCACCAAUAUCCAAAAAAUUCAAGAAAAUUCCCUCCAAAUUCUUCAAGUCUCCUCCAAAUCCCACAAAAUUCAAGACAAAUCCUCAAAAUCCCACAAAAAUCCCACCAAAUUCCAGAACCAUCUCACAAAAUCUCAACAAAUUUCCACUAAAUUCAAGAAAACUCUC
rnacentral:lncRNA from 1 species